UACGUAGGGUGCAAGCGUUGUCCGGAAUUAUUGGGCGUAAAGAGCUCGUAGGCGGCUUGUCGCGUCGACUGUGAAAUCCCGCGGCUCAACUGCGGGUCUGCAGUCGAUACGGGCAGGCUAGAGUUCGGUAGGGGAGACUGGAAUUCCUGGUGUAGCGGUGAAAUGCGCAGAUAUCAGGAGGAACACCGGUGGCGAAGGCGGGUCUCUGGGCCGAUACUGACGCUGAGGAGCGAAAGCAUGGGUAGCGAACAGG
rnacentral:rRNA from 1 species